AACGCACAUUGCGCCCUUUGGUAUUCCGAAGGGCAUGCCUGUUUGAGUGUCAUAUAGUCUCAUCCGAUUAGGUUUUCCUGAUCGUGGUGGUUUGGACGUCUGCCUUUGUUGGCUCGUCUUAAAUAACUAAGUGGAAUGCGUAAUAAGUUUCGCAACCGUCCACUCUAAAUCCUAAUCUAUAUUCUGACCUCAAAUCAGGUAGGACUACCCGCUGAACUUAA
rnacentral:misc_RNA from 1 species